rnacentral:rRNA from 1 species
UACGUAGGGUGCGAGCGUUGUCCGGAAUUAUUGGGCGUAAAGAGCUCGUAGGCGGUGUGUCACGUCGGCCGUGAAAACCUGGGGCUUAACUCUGGGCGUGCGGUCGAUACGGGCAUCACUAGAGUUCGGCAGGGGAGACUGGAAUUCCUGGUGUAGCGGUGAAAUGCGCAGAUAUCAGGAGGAACACCGGUGGCGAAGGCGGGUCUCUGGGCCGAUGACUGACGCUGAGGAGCGAAAGCGUGGGGAGCGAACAGG